AGAUUUGGCCUCUUCUGGUGACGCCAUCUGCAGGCACUCAGAAUGGUCCAGCGUUUGACAUAUCGUCAUAGGCUUUUCUACAAUACAACCUCUAGCAAAACUAGGCUGUCCCAAACCCCUGGUAAUAGAAUUGUUUACCUUUAUACCAAGAAGGUUGGGAAAGCACCAAAAUCUGCAUGUGGCAUGUGCCCAGGCAGACUUCAAGGGGUUUGUGCUAUGAGACCUAAAGUUCUUAAGAGAUUGUCUAAAACAAAGAAACAUGUCAGCAGGGCCUGUGGUGGUUCCAUGUGUGCUAAAUGUGUGACAGGAUCAAGUGUGCUUUCCUUAUCGAGGAGCAGAAAAUCAUUACGAAGGUGUUGAAGGCACAAGCACAGAGUUAGAAAGCUAAAUAAGAGAAUGAAGCUUUUUUGAGUAAUAAAAAUUGAAAGGCUUGGAAUUUUCUGGA